UUUACGUCCAUGGCAGCACGAUGCUGGCAAGGCAGAGAAACAUGCAUCACCUGCAUUCUACAGCAAGCACGUUCUGUGGAGGAGAAGAUGAUGAUGGACUCAUUCCAGUGUCUGAUGAAGCAGAUGACAUGGAUGCUCCUGCCAGAUAAUGCGAUCAGCUUUCACCCAUUCAUCGUAUCUAAAAAUUUGUGCCAUCAAACUGGCUGCAUCCCACUGUCCCUCUCCUGAACAGGUAGACAGCCAGAAUUGCAGCAAGCUCCGCAGAACACCUGAUGAACGCUGUUACAGAGCAAUGUGUGAAGAGAUUAACUCAAAAUACUGUGGUCUGAAAGGAAUGAGGAAGCAGCAGCAAUGCUGCAUUAGGAAAAGAUAUACACAAGCAAAUUGUCAGACUUUGAAAAAGCACAAAGC